rnacentral:snRNA from 1 species
GUGCUCACUUUGGCAGCACAUAUACUAAAAUUGGAAUGAUACAGAGAAGAUUCGCAUGGCCCCUGCGCAAGGAUGACACGCAAAUUCGUGAAGUGUUCCAUAUUUUU